CCUUCGCGAUCACCUAUAGUGGAUAAAUCAACCUUCUUCAAGUAGGUUGAUAAUCAACCACCUUGUUGUUCAUUUAUCAAUUCAUGAUCGCUAAUCAACCUCCUUCGUGAAAAAACAAUCCACAAUAGUUAAGCAGCAGGAACACAAUUUUUCCACAAUGCUCAGCUAAAUUAACAUCAUGAAGUGAAGGAUGAAACGUUCAACAAAAUACAGGCAGCAGCGCCCGUGCCAAAAAGUAGCAAGAAAGUGGAGAAAAAGAAGAGUGAGGUGAAAACUAAGAAGGUUGCUAGUAUUAGCUUCCUUGGUGUGUUGUUCUUCAUGGUGCUCUUUGAUGUGUUGGUUUCUUUAUUGAAUGUAAGAUAUGGAGGUGUGAGGCUUUUUUCCUGUUUUUUUUCUUGGCCUCUAUAGGAUUCCGAAUUACAAGUCAAAAAUUCUUGCUACCAAUGAGUAUGUUAUUUCCUGUUAACCUGAUUUGCAAUUUCAGUUUACAUUGAAUGUUGAUAGAUGGUAACAAACUAUUGUUGCUUCUCUAAGACCAUGGAUUUGGAUUACAUUUGUCUUGAUUAAUGUUGAAGUCGGUCAGAUUGUGGUUCACCAAAAAAAAUAAAAAAAAUAUGGAGGUGUGAGGGAGCUAUUUACAAGUGGAGAUUUUUGAGAGUGGAUUUUCGGAUAAACAUCACGGAAGAAUCUUUCACAUGUUUGCUUUGAGAAUUGUAGAAAAAGUGGAAAAUAGUGAGUUAUGGAGAAGAAGAUGAUGCUAUUUUUUGGAUGUAAAAAUAAUGGAAAAUGGUAGAGUUAUGGAGAA